GGGUGCAGGUAGGGAGCUCAGCGUGCUGGCUGGGUGCUCAGGGUGCUCUCAGGGUGCAAGUAGGGUGCAGGCAGGGUGCAAGUAGGGCGCACUCAGGGCACAAUUAGGGUGCUCAGGGUGCAGCCAGGGUGCACUCAGAGCACAAUUAGGGUACCCAGGGUGCAGGUAGGGCACGCUCAGGGUGCUCAGGGUGCUGGCUGGGUGCUGGAAGGGUGUGGGCAGGGUGCUCAGGGUGUGAGCAGGGUGCAAGUAGGGUGCUCAGGGUGCAGCCAGGGUACACUCAGGGCACAGUUAGGGUGCUCAGGGUGCAGGCAGGGUGCUCAGGGUGCUCAGGAUGCAA
rnacentral:lncRNA from 1 species